AAAAAAAAAAAAAAGAAAAAAAAAAGAACUCGAAAAUAACAGCUCCCAUGUUUCCCGAUUGGGGGAGGGGACUUGGUAGGAUGACAUCAUGAACAGAGCACAGGCCCAGGAGCCAGGAGAACAGGUCUAGGCUCAUUCUGAACAAACCAUUUUAAACUCUCAGCCUCAGUUUCCCUUCCAUAAAAUAAGCCUGUUGGAAUAUUUCUUAAGUCCUUCCAGCCAUAAAAUUCUAAGGCUCUCCAGCAGGUUUGUUGCAGUGACAAAUAAAACGAGUGCUUUUAAAGUAGUAAAAGGCUGGCAUCCCCAUUGUAGCUCAAUGGGAAUAGCAGCACCCCUGGAGCGCUAGGAUGCAGGUUCUAUCUCUAGCCCCGCACAGUGGGUUAAGGAUCCAGUGAUACUGCAGCAAUGGCGUAGGUCGCAACUGCAGCUCAGAUCUGAUUCCUGGCCCAGAACUCCAUAUGCUGUGGGGGCAGCAAACCAUUUUUAAAAAAUUAAAUUUUAAAAAAGUAGUAAAAGGGGAUACGAAAUGAUUUUUCGAGUUCAUCCUGCCUCUGCACCAUGGCCCCACCUCUCACGAAUAGCUGCUGCAACGAACUUCUUUCUUAAAGCCAAACAGAAUGGCUGCUCUGGGAUGGAGCUACAAGGUGUAGGUGAGAGGCUGUCUACCUAGGGGGAGCUCCCUCCCCGCAUGGACAGAGAGCUUGGAAGAACACUGGGAGGGUGCGCACUUUGACAGGAAAGGAGGAAUGGGUAUUUAGGAGGCAUAGGUAUUGGAAAGCAAGUCCCCCUGUGUUACAUGAAGUCUUCACCACGCAGUGUCAUGGAUCCUGUGUUCCUGCAAGUGGAAAAGUAGCCUGUAUCUUUCUGCCUCCUGUGUUCAUGUCAUCAACAGGCCAGUGGUGGAGUUCCCGUUGUGGCGCAGUGGUUAACAAAUCCGACUAGGAACCAUGAGGUUGCAGGUUCGAUCCCGGGUCUCACUCACUGGGUAUUCUUGUGUUCGCUUAUGACAGCUUUCAAAAGAUUGAGAAAAGCGAUCCAGAAAACUGACCGAAGGAAGAUGAAAACCUCUGACGUUUCGGCUCUUGAUUAGAUUGAGAUAAAGAAAAAAACCUGCUUGAAGUCUGGCUGAAAGUCACAAAUGGAAGUCUGGCUGCAUCGCAGUGGAAGUGACACGGGCUGGUCUCAGGGUGGGUCUUUGGGGUUUGAAGCCUGAGGUCACCUCCUCAGAGCCCUGGGAACCCGGGUGAGUCUCAUCCGUAAUAGGGGGAUGACAGACUCACGGUUGUUGUGCAGAAGAUGUGUGAGUCCACUUUGGGGACGAAAACGAUAUCAUUAGAAUUCUAAGAAAAUGUGAGAAACUAUUUGUAAAAUGAAAAAAAUGAUGCAAAAGUUAUUGCUGUAGAGGCUACAGGGAAAACUUAACAGAAACGUAAACACACUUGGAACAGGCGGGAGAACCGUUUCCUCCCUGCAGUGGAGAUUAAUACUUUUUCAAGAUGAUCUACAUCCCUUUCCUGAACUGGAGGAGGCAGAGCCCACCCCUCACCAGGGAAGUGCAGCUGCCUGAUGCCCAGAUAGGGCACUGGGGCCUGGUGACCCCAGUUUGGCCAUUCCCACUCCUGCCCCAGACUUCUUUCUAGAAGCCAAUUAUCUGAAGAAGCUCCAGUCUGGCUGCAGGAGAAGGGAGGUGACUGCUACAUCUGGUUUCUGGACUUGGCACUGGUAGGGGACCCGGAGGUGGGUUGUUCACACUGGCUGUUGGGAGCCCUGUGUCCAGCCAGGCCUUCUGCUCCAUGGACAGCUUGCAGCAUUGCUCUUGGACGCCUUACCCCCAAAGCCUGGUUUAGUGGACAACUCAGUUUCUCUAAGCUCCCCCAUAUCUUUUACAUUUUUCUUUUCUUUUUCUUUUUUUGCUUCUUAGGGCCACAUGUGUGGCAUAUGGAAGUUCCCAGGCUAGGGGUUGAAUCAGAGCUGCAGCUGCCAGCCUAUGCCACAGCUGCAGCAAUGCAGGAUGCAAGCCAAGUCUGCGACUUACACCACAGCUCCCAGCAAGGUUGGAUCCUUAACCCACUGAGCAGGGCCAGGGAUCGAACCCGCCUCCUCAUGGAUACCAGUCAGGUGCAUUACUGCUGAGCCACAACGGGAACUCCCCUCCAUAUCCUUUCAUAUAAAACUUUGUUGUGGAAAUUUUCCAGUGUACAGAAAAUUGAAGAGAAUAGCAUAAUGAACCCCUGUGUACCUAUCACCCAGGCCACCAAUCAUUAAUAUUUUUCCAAUUAUUUCACCACUUCUGCUCUUCCUUUCACCUUUGUUUAAUUGUUUUGGGCUAAAGUAUUUUAAAAUAAACCCAAGAUACCAUGUUAUUCCACCAUAUAUAUUGCUGUGUGAUUUCUAAUGGAUAAAGACUCUUUUUUUCCCUAACAUGUCCAUAAUGUCAUUUUCUUACACAAUGGGAUGCAUCAUAAUUCUCAGUACAUCCCAAUAUUCAUGUCUGCUCAGAUCAUCAAGAAAUGCUUUGUCUUAAUUAUAAGACUUUGCCUAACACACUCUCCUUCUCUUCUAUCAUCUUGGCCCAUAAAAUAGAAACCCCAUCCCGUGGAGGUAUGGAGGGGAUACAUUUCUUCCUCUGUGUUCCCUCGCUUGGUGGAAGAGCAACUUACCAGAUAGGUGGAUUGGGAAUAAGGAACUGAAUGAGAGCCUUCGGCCUUCCAGGCAUCUCUCUAGGAUGGUCUGUCCCCAUAGCAGCUGCUAUCCACCCAGCUCAGUGUCCACCGGCUCAGCACAUGUGGCACCGGCCCCAGCCCUCCUUGCAGGGUGAGUCUGAAGGGUCGUCUCUCCCUUGAGGCGUGAGCAAGAGACCCUCAGUAAAUAGAUCUGCUCUGUAAAACCAAACUGUCCCCAGCUGACUCAUCCCGACGAAUGGUCUUGGAGCAAACCCCUAGGAAAUCUGGUUUGACAACGUCUAUGCUGCAGGAUCUAACUGGGUUGGCAAUAAAGCUGGUAUUCUCA